rnacentral:rRNA from 1 species
GAUGAACGCUGGCGGCGUGCCUAAUACAUGCAAGUCGAGCGAACAGACGAAGAUCUUGCUGUUCUGACGUUAGCGGCGGAUGGGUGAGUCACAAGUGGCUAACCUCCCUAUCAGAGUGAGAUAACGUCGGGAACCCGGAGCAAAUACCGGAUAAUAUAUUGAAACGCAUGGUUGAAUAGAGAAAGACGGGUUUGCUGUCACGUAUAGGUCGAACCGCCCCGCAUUAGCUAGGUGGUAAGAUAAAGGCUUACCAAGGCAACGAUGCGUAGCCGACCGGAGAGGGUGGUCGCCGACCCUGGAGCGUGGCCACGGUCCAGGCUCCUACGGGAGGCAGCAGUAGCGUAUCUGCCGCAAUGGGCGAAAGCCUUACGGAGCAACGCCGCGUGUGUGAUGAAGGUCUUCGGUUCGUAAAACUCUGUUAUGAGUGAUGAACAAAUGUGUACGUAACUAUGCACGUCUUGACGGUACCUAAUCAGAAAGCCACGGCUAACUACGUG